rnacentral:rRNA from 1 species
UACAGGGGGGGCAAGCGUUGUUCGGAAUUACUGGGCGUAAAGGGCUCGUAGGUGGCCAACUAAGUCAGACGUGAAAUCCCUCGGCUUAACCGGGGAACUGCGUCUGAUACUGGAUGGCUUGAGUUCGGGAGAGGGAUGUAGAAUUCCAGGUGUAGCGGUGAAAUGCGUAGAUAUCUGGAGGAAUACCGGUGGCGAAGGCGGCAUCCUGGACCAUAACUGACGCUGAGGCGCGAAAGCUAGGGGAGCAAACGGG